AUGGCGAACGGCACGCACAACAACGGUCGCGGCGAAGGGGAACGAGACAAACCGCCUGCCGACGAAGCUGCGCUCUCCGCGAGGCUCGACCGUCUGAAGAAUCGGCUUUCCGAAGUCCGGAAUAACCGCAAAAACCAGACAGAUCAGUCAGGAAGCGGGGCAGCCUCCGCCAACGCAUCCGCGAUGGCACGGGGUUUUCGCCUCUCCUCCGAAUUGAUUGCAGGCGUCCUUGUCGGAGCGGUCAUUGGCUGGGGCAUCGACCGUCUCUUGUCGACUUCCCCCUGGGGUC
rnacentral:misc_RNA from 1 species